AAUCAACGCUGGCGGCGCGCUUAACACAUGCAAGUCGAACGAGAAAGUUCCCUUCGGGGGAUGAGUACAGUGGCGAACGGGUGAGUAACACGUGGGUUACCUGCCCUCGAGUGGGGAAUAACUCCGGGAAACUGGAGCUAAUACCGCAUACGACCCUUCGGGGUGAAAGCUUUAUGCGCUCGAGGAUGGGCCCGCGGUCGAUUAGCUUGUUGGUGGGGUAAUGGCCUACCAAGGCUCCGAUCGAUAGCCGGCCUGAGAGGGCACACGGCCACACUGGCACUGAGACACGGGCCAGACUCCUACGGGAGGCAGCAGUGGGGAAUCUUGGACAAUGGGGGAAACCCUGAUCCAGCGACGCCGCGUGAUCGAUGAAGGCCUUCGGGUCGUAAAGAUCUUUCAGUGGGGACUAUAGUGAAGGUACCCACAGAAGCAGGAGCGGCUAACUAUG
rnacentral:rRNA from 1 species